rnacentral:tRNA from 1 species
GGGGCUAUAGCUCAGCUGGGAGAGCGCGUGACUGGCAGUCACGAGGUCGCCGGUUCGAUCCCGGCUAGCUCCA